GAACCCUGAUCCAGCCAUGCCGCGUGUGUGAAGAAGGCCUUUUGGUUGUAAAGCACUUUAAGCGAGGAGGAGGCUACUGGUAUUAAUACUACCGGAUAGUGGACGUUACUCGCAGAAUAGGCACCGGCUAACUCUGUGCCAGCAGCCGCGGUAAUACAGAGGGUGCGAGCGUUAAUCGGAUUUACUGGGCGUAAAGCGUGCGUAGGCGGCUUUUUAAGUCGGAUGUGAAAUCCCUGAGCUUAACUUAGGAAUUGCAUUCGAUACUGGGAGGCUAGAGUAUGGGAGAGGAUGGUAGAAUUCCAGGUGUAGCGGUGAAAUGCGUAGAGAUCUGGAGGAAUACCGAUGGCGAAGGCAGCCAUCUGGCCUAAUACUGACGCUGAGGUACGAAAGCAUGGGGAGCAAACAGGAUUAGAUACCCUGGUAGUCCAUGCCGUAAACGAUGUCUACUAGCCGUUGGGGCCUUUGAGGCUUUAGUGGCGCAGCUAACGCGAUAAGUAGACCGCCUGGGGAGUACG
rnacentral:rRNA from 1 species